AACAACACAGGAGGGAAAUUCAAAGUAUGACUCUGUGUUGUAGACUUCUACAUUUAUGAAAAGCUAAUUAAUUUAUAAUAGUCUGGUGAUUACUUCAAAGUUCACAAGCUUCACGAUCAUAGUUUCAUAUACUGGCUAUUAUUUAACAGAUUUGCAAGUUUCAUUACUGUUGUUAUUGGGUAUAUGUAAAGUGAAAAUUUCUUUGCCAUGGGUAACAACCGAAUUGGUCAUUGAGCGAUGGCAACAGCCAUUAUCAGUACAAUAAUGGCCAUUACAUGUAGACAAAGCAUCUGUCUUUUGGUUGGCAAUUCUAGGUUUUAUUUCCCCGAUAUUCUCGUACUUCUCCAGCCACCAUUUUCAUGUUUUCUAGCCUUAUUCAGUCUGAAUCUUUUAAAACUAUUACUACAUAAAUUUUACUUUGAUAUCACUUUGUGACGAGGCAAAAAUCAAGUCAAGAGGAUUAUAUUUAGCACUUUUCACGCUUCUUUGAAAUCGGUGAGUUCAUUUUAAGUCAUAAGUUAGUUUCAGUUCUUAAUUUUAGUCAACUCCUUGAAUAUCUAUUCAUUUAAUGCAUUUUACAGUUUACAAGAAUAAACAAAUCACUUGCAUAGUGAUUUGCUGUGACCAUUUUGUAAUUACGUCAUGGCCAUACUGGCCCUGUUUUCAUUACUUGUGACAUGCAACUGUUUUUCGAAUCUAUGCUCAUGGCUUUCAUGAGCAGCAAGAUUUAUGAGAAGGAAAUCACUAAUUUUGUAUAAGUAACUGUUCAGUAAUUAAAAUUCAUUCACCUUGAUGUAAUGCUGUAUUUUGAUUUCCUAGAAAUUCAUAACUGUAUCACAUAAAGCAAGGAUGCAUUGGAGUUGGCCAAUUGCUGUUGUUAUGCUGAAUUCAUUUUUGAUUCUCAAAUAAAUAACUUCUGCAGAAAGGUAAUUGCAUGUCCUUUUUUUUUGUGUUCUUGGGGAAAAACCGUGGGUUUUGAAACUUGUGACCCAUACAUGAGAAUUGCAAACUAUUGGCAAAGCCAAUCUCAGUUGAUAAUCUUAUUAUAUUUAUCUAUCUCUUCUGUUGGAUUGUGGUUUUUGACACAAUCAUGAGGGGCAAAUCAGGUUGCACGAAUAAUACUUUUCUGCUAAUGUAUAUAUUAACUUCUUUUUCUUUAAUGGUCAUGCAUAUAUAAAAUGACCAAAAAGUUUGUGGCUAAGUAAUCUACCAGCACUAUUGAAAUUAUAUUCAUUAUCAAAUCAGAAUUUAAACAUGUAUAUAUGAUGAUGAGUGGCUACAGUCUGAACGUCAUAAUGAAUUUUGGGAUUUUAUUAUUGACUACAUCAUUCUUUGACAAGGUUUAAUCAAAAUGUGUUUGGUUUGUAUCAUUAGAGUUCAGCUUAUGAAAGUUCUAGA
rnacentral:misc_RNA from 1 species